GUGGUCACUUUGGCAGCACAUACACUCAAAUUGGAACAAUACAGGUAAGAUUAGCAUGGCCUCUGUGCAAAGAUGACAUGCAAACUCAUGAAGCAUUCCAUAUGUUA
rnacentral:snRNA from 1 species